ACAACCGAGGUGCAAAGGCUGUCGCUGACCCUCAAAGGUUGUGCACGCCCGAGCGCUCUCACACAAUCCAUCUCACCUUUGUGCAUCACCGCGUGGGUCCCCUUUGCGGGAGGGCUCGCGUUUUCACAUAAUAACUCGAUACAGUGUAGAAUGUUUCUUUUGCGGUCACACGCAAUCAAUACAACUUUCAACAACGGAUCUCUUGGCUCUCGCAUCGAUGAAGAACGCAGCGAAAUGCGAUACGUAAUGUGAAUUGCAGAAUUCAGUGAAUCAUCGAAUCUUUGAACGCACCUUGCGCCCCUUGGCAUUCCGAGGGGCACACCCGUUUGAGUGUCGUGAAUUCUUCAAAACCCUUUUUUCUUCGAACCAUCGUGGUCGGGAAAAGGAUUUUUGGACUUGGAGGUUUAAUGCUCGCCCUUUCUUUUGAAAGCGAGCUCCUCUCAAAUGAAUUAGUGNNGUCCGCUUUGCUGAUCCUUGACGUGAUAAAAUGUUUCUACGUUUUGGGUUUAGCACUGUCGCUUGNAUGCCUGCUCCUAACCCGUCUCAUUGACAAUGAUGGUGCUCUGGUCACUGCCGUCUACAUCGGCGGGAGGCUGGANCCACAAAAAGAAAAACCUUGA
rnacentral:rRNA from 1 species